GACUACAGGGGUAUCUAAUCCCGUUCGCUCCCCACGCUUUCGCGCCUCAGCGUCAGUGCUGGGCCAGUGUGCCGCCUUCGCCACCGGUGUUCUUCCUGAUAUCUACGCAUUCCACCGCUACACCAGGAAUUCCGCACACCUCUCCCGCACUCAAGUCAGGCAGUUUCGAACGCAGUUCCACGGUUGAGCCGUGGGAUUUCACAUUCGACUUGCCAAACCGCCUACACGCCCUUUACGCCCAAUGAUUCCGGACAACGCUUGCUCCCCCCGUAUUACCGCGGCUGCUGGCACGGAGUUGGCCGGAGCUUUCUCUGGGGGUAACGUCAGGCAAUGGGCAUGUUGCUCCCACUGCUGUUCUUUCCCCCUAACAGAGGUUUACAACCCAAAGGGCCUUCAUCCCUCACGCGGCGUCGCUCCCUCAGACUUUCGUCCAUUGGGGAAGAUUCUCGACUGCAGCCGCCCGUAGG
rnacentral:rRNA from 1 species